rnacentral:rRNA from 1 species
AAUGAACGCUGGCGGCAUGCCUAACACAUGCAAGUCGAACGACAGCGCGGGCUUCGGUCUCGCGGCGAGUGGCGAACGGGUGGGUAAUGCAUCGGAACGUGCCCUGUCUCGGGGGAUUGCCCGGCGAAAGCCGGAUUAAUCUCGCAUCCGACCAGAUAUUGAAAGGGGGGGGCCGAAAGUCCUCGCGGCUUUUGAGCGGGCGAUGUCGGAUUAGCUAGUUGGAGGGGUAAAGGGUUACCAAGGCGACGAUCCGUAGCUGGUCUGAGAGGACGACCAGCCACACGGGGACUGAGACACGGCCCAGACUCCGACGGGAGGCAGCAGUGGGGAAUCUUGCGCAAUGGGGGAAAGCCUGAUCCAGCAAUGCCGCGUGAGGGAUGAAGGCCUUCGGGUGGUAAAGCGCUGUUGUUCGGGAAGAAAUAAUGUGGGCUUAUCCGAGGGGGUGAUGACGGUACCGGAAGAAUAAGCACCGGCUAACUACGUG